rnacentral:rRNA from 1 species
GACGAACGCUGGCGGCGUGCCUAAUACAUGCAAGUAGAACGCACAGUUUAUACCGUAGCUUGCUACACCAUAGACUGUGAGUUGCGAACGGGUGAGUAACGCGUAGGUAACCUGCCUGGUAGCGGGGGAUAACUAUUGGAAACGAUAGCUAAUACCGCAUAAUAUUGAUUAUUGCAUGAUAAUUGAUUGAAAGAUGCUAUUGCAUCACUACCAGAUGGACCUGCGUUGUAUUAGCUAGUAGGUGAGGUAACGGCUCACCUAGGCGACGAUACAUAGCCGACGUGAGAGGGUGAUCGGCCACACUGGGACUGAGACACAGCCCAGACGCCUACGGGAGGCAGCAGUAGGGAAACUUCGGCAAUGGACGAGAGUCUGACCGAGCAACGCCGCGUGAGUGAAGAAGGUUUUCGGAUCGUAAAGCUCUGUUGUAAGAGAAGAACGGGUGUGAGAGUGGAAAGUUCACACUGUGACGGUAUCUUACCAGAAAGGGACGGCUAACUACGUG